rnacentral:lncRNA from 1 species
GUUCAGAAGCUUCUGAAGUCACAGAAGUUUUCAGUAAGUGUGCAGAAUAUGGUAAGAGAAAGUGGUGUGUAAAAGGAAAGUGUUACUACCUACCAGUAAAUAAUGAUAGGAGAUUAGUGACUGCAGUGCAAGUAGGGUGUAAUUACUGGCCUGUAAAAAUUGUGCUAAACUUCCACGAUCCAUGUAUACGUUUUGUGUAUGGGUAAGUGUAACGAAGGUAUAUGGCUCUUCUGAGACUUGAUUUUCUUGGCAGCAUAGUUUGCAAUAGAAAUAAAAGUCACACAGCCUUUUUUGACAGAGAAUAAUGUAUGUGUUGUUUUAUGCCGGCAGCUCAGUUGCUCUACUGUGGUAUUCAUGAUGCUCUUUUAAUUGUUGUAUAACUGUUCCAGUUGAACAAAAUAUUAAGACCUAUUGGCUUUGGAGUUGGGAAGGAUUAUUCAUUUAAGGGAAUUUACCUGUUCACAUUCUUCAGGCCAUCCCAGCAAAGUACUUUUCCCUAAGGAAAUGAUGGGUACACAUGGAGAGCUGUGUUGGUAUGGCUAUGUGAUAUAAAUCUGAAGAAUCUUGAUAGAAUUUAUAUCCUGCAUCAUCUACAACUGAAGGUUUUGCAGAAGGUGGUACGCAGAACCAACACAGUUCAAAGGAAGGAAAAGGAGGUAGGUAUGCUACAAGAAAUGUAUAGGGCCAGGAUUCUUUUAAUCAGGAUUCACUACUGGCUGUCUGUCCUGUGACUUUUCAUAUACAUUGUCAGUAAAUUAGCAGGUCAGACAGGUUCUGCCUGAAAAGAAUACACAGACCAAGAAUUCUUUUAUUUUUAAUUACUGGAGUGGAUGAAAGCAAGGUGUGGUCUUUGGCCCAGCACAGAGAGUCAGGAAUUGACUAGCUUCUGUGCCUCCAGGUAAAUCUCAUCUUCCUGCCUUGAUUUCUCCAGCUGUGAUAUAGGUGUGAUAUUUGCCUUAGGAGGAAACUGAAUAUAUUCCUGUUUGCUGGGUUCCUUAGAGACAGAAAUUGUUACUCACAUAACAUUUCAGAAAAUUAAGCAUUUUUAAUAAGCGUUUUAAUAAGAACGCUGAUCACACGGCUUCGGGUUGGGUGAGCUGAGUUCUCCUCUUUGUGGAAAAUAACUGGAAAACUUCCUCUUCGGAUGUCUGCUGCAAGUAUUUCCAUAUGAUAAUUUCUUCAGUUUUGUGUUACGAGGUUCCUGUAUAUCUGACUUCAUAGAAAGCUUGAGAUAGUGAACUUGUCCCGCAGCAGAUGAUACCUAAAAGAUGGAGGGCACUUGAUGAAUAACACACAUAAAAAAAAAAGUUUAAAAGCAGCGCAGAUGAAUAAAUUCUCUUCCAAGUUUUGUGCUCCA